GCAGGUUGGUGGCGCUCUUCCCUUUCGCGGGCGGAGUAAUCACGCAUAGCUGUUAUCAGAACAUGCAGAUAUCCCAAAGCCCGCUCAUCAGCGGGUUUUUUUAU
rfam:Serratia sp. ATCC 39006 ctg3, whole genome shotgun sequence.